rnacentral:misc_RNA from 1 species
GAUGAAGAACGCAGCGAAAUGCGAUAAGUAAUGCGAAUUGCAGAAUCCGUGAGUCAUCGAAUCUUUGAACGCACAUUGCGCCCCUUGGUUAUUCCGAAGGGCAUGCCUGUUCGAGCGUCAUUAUCACCCCUCAAGCCCUGGCUUGGUGUUGGACUUUAGUUAUAGCCUUGCCUAUCAACUGGUCUCAAAGAUAGUGACGGCGCCCCAGAGGGAACCGGGUACGAGGAGCUUUUUACUAAGCAUGUAUCUGGGACGACUCUGGGCGACGGUCUUGUUAUACUUUUUACCUAAGUGUUGACCUCGGAUCAGGUAGGAAUACCCGCUGAACUUAAGUAUAUCAAUAAGCGGAGGA